rnacentral:rRNA from 1 species
UACGUAGGGGGCGAGCGUUGUCCGGAAUUAUUGGGCGUAAAGAGCUCGUAGGCGGUUCAGCAAGUCGGGUGUGAAACCUCCAGGCUCAACCUGGAGACGCCACCCGAUACUGCUGUGACUUGAGUCCGGUAGGGGACCACGGAAUUCCUGGUGUAGCGGUGAAAUGCGCAGAUAUCAGGAGGAACACCGGUGGCGAAGGCGGUGGUCUGGGCCGGCACUGACGCUGAGGAGCGAAAGCGUGGGGAGCGAACAGG